rnacentral:rRNA from 1 species
UACGUAGGGGGCAAGCGUUGUCCGGAUUUAUUGGGCGUAAAGCGCGUGUAGGCGGCCAGAUAGGUCUGCUGUGAAAACUCGAGGCUCAACCUCGAGCUGUCGGCGGAAACCAUCUGGCUAGAGUCCGGAAGAGGAGAGUGGAAUUCCUGGUGUAGCGGUGAAAUGCGCAGAUAUCAGGAAGAACACCUAUGGCGAAGGCAGCUCUCUAGUACGGUACUGACGCUGAGACGCGAAAGCGUGGGGAGCGAACAGG